rnacentral:rRNA from 1 species
AGCGAAGCUUUUCAGUAGUUUACUACAGAAAAUGACUGAGCGGCGAACGGGUGAGUAACGCGUGAGCAAUCUACCUUAGUUACAGGGAUAGCCCGAGGAAACUCGGAUUAAUACCUGAUAUUCUUUACAUUUCGCAUGAAAUCAAAAGGAAAGGUCAGCCGAACUAAGAUGAGCUCGCGUUCUAUCAGCUAGUUGGCGAGGUAAAAGCUUACCAAGGCUACGACGGAUAGCUGGUCUGAGAGGACGAUCAGCCACACUGGGACUGAGACACGGCCCAGACUCCUACGGGAGGCUGCAGCAGGGAAUAUUGUGCAAUGAACGAAAGUUUGACACAGCGACACCGCGUGUGGGAUGACGGAUCUAGGUUUGUAAACCACUUUCAGGAGGGAAGAAAAUGACGGUACCUCCACAAGAAGCCCCGGCCAACUACGUGCCAGCAGCCGCGGUAAUACGUAGGGGGCGAGCGUUGUCCGGAUUUAUUGGGCGUAAAGAGCUCGUAGGCGGUUCAACAUGUCGGUCGUGAAAGUUCAGGGCUCAACCCUGAAAUGUCGAUCGAUACUGUUGUGACUAGGAUACGGUAGAGGUGAGUGGAAUUCCGAGUGUAGCGGUGAAAUGCGUAGAUAUUCGGAGGAACACCAAUUGCGAAGGCAGCUCACUGGACCGCUAUCGACGCUGAGGAGCGAAAGCUAGGGGAGCAAACAGGAUUAGAUACCCUGGUAGUCCUAGCUGUAAACGAUGGAUACUAGACGUAGGAACUGGGUCGACGGUUUCUGUGUCGUAGCUAACGCGUUAAGUAUCCCGCCUGGGGAGUACGGUCGCAAGACUAAAACUCAAAGGAAUUGACGGGACCCCGCACAAGCGGCGGAGCAUGCGGCUUAAUUCGAUGGUACCCGUAGAACCUUACCUGGACUUGACAUAUAGGGUCAAGCUAUAGAGAUAUAGUGUGCAUUAGCGCCCUACACAGGUGGGGCAUGGCUGUCGUCAGCUCGU